UCUACAUAUCCUCUCUCACAUAACAGUACUUGCUCGAUAGCAAACCAAGUGGAGAAAGAAAAGGAAGUGUGCUUGAAAGUUGAAACUUCGCCAAACACCACCUAUCAUGGGUGCGAGAAAUGCUAUCAUGUGCUUCGUGUUGAUUCUUGUAUUGUUCCCGGAUAAUGGAUCCGCAGGAUGCUGGGUGAGUGCCAAUGGCGGCCCACUGUGCAUAGGCUUUCUGUGCAAGGUGACUUGCUUGAUUGCGGAAAAGAUGUUUAAUUGCGUUCUCAAGGAACACAGGUGCGACGGGCCACCACUCAAUAGCGAAUGCUACUGCUAUCUCUGUGACAAAUAGUAUGUUAACAUGGGAGCUGAAGAUAGCCUCAUGAUUACGAAGUGUCAAAUAAAGGGAAUGAAUAAUUUCUAAUAGAAACCA